AGUACAUAGUGAAAGCAGUGCCCUGGUGACCAGUGAUUGCAUAGCUCUGUUUUCCGUCAAGGAUAACAGAUUUCAUCACAGAUCUGAAGCCCAUUAUGAACAUUAAUUAAUGUCUGACAUCUCUUAAUGAGUGUCAAGAUCAUGAAGACAAGGAAAGACCAAGGAACUGUCUCAGACUGAAGAAGACUAAGGAGACUUGACAACUAAAUGCAACGCAGCAUCCUGGAUUAGAUCCUGCAACAGAAAAUGGACCUUAGUGAAAAAAUGGCCACCAGUUUAAAGCCUGUAGUUUAGUCACAUGUAUUGUACCAAUAUUAAUGUCCUGAUUUUGGCAACUGUACUAUGGGUAUGUCAAAUGUUAACAUUAGAGGAAGCUGG
rnacentral:lncRNA from 1 species